rnacentral:rRNA from 1 species
AUUGAACGCUAGCGGGAUGCUUUACACAUGCAAGUCGAACGAGUGGCGGACGGGUGGGUAAUAUAUCGGAACGUGCCCAGGAGCGGGGGAUAACUAAUCGAAAGAGUGGCUGAUACCGCAUACUUGUGGAGCGGCCGGUAGCGGUUUAGCGAGUUGGUGGGGUCAAGGGUCACCAAGGCAACGAUCCGUAGCGGGUUUGAGAUGACGACCAGCCACACUGGGCUGGAGACACGGCCCAUACUCCUACGGGAGGCAGCAGUGGGGAAUUUUGGACAAUGGGUGAAACCCGGAUCCAGCCAUCCCGCGUGUAUGAGAAGGCCUUCGGGUUGUAAAGUACUUUUGGCAGAGAAGCGGUAUCUGCAGAAUAAGCACCGGCUAACUACGUGCCAGCAGCCGCGGUAAUAC